UUUGAUACGCGACCGCAGCACCGGGGCUCUGAGCCCUCGGGUUUCAAAGAGAGCCCCUGUGUGAGCACUGCGGGGUGCCUGCCCUCCCCAGCAUGAGCUUGCCCAGCCCUGCAGCCUCAGGAGCACAGCUUAAACUCAAGGAAACCCCAGAGCCCAGCAUGAAGUGAUUAAUGAGUGGAAAUCCCUGUGUUAACCUCGUUAGCUCCCACACAAUUUAGUUCCCUUCUUAAAGCCAGGCAGCACUCAGGGGAUUCUGGGGAGGGAAGAGAGCAGGUACUGUGCUCACCAGACCCCACAGGGGAGCCGUGCUUCCUGCUCUUCCCCAAAACCAGCAAUACAAACAGCUCCUCCCUUUGGCUACCAGGAUUUCGGCCAGCUCUCUCAGGACAGUGCUCACAGCUUUGCUUGUGGCCACAGCCCUGUGAGUGCUCCAGGUGCAGCAAAACACCUUUUGCCUGGGUUUUCUGCGCUUUGGGCUCUACGUGCUGCUUCUGGAGAAGCUUUCCCCAAAGCAUCCACCCCUCCUGGCAUCACCAGCACGGCAGGUACCAGGUCCUGCACCACGAUGUAAGGCUGGCAUUUGGUCUUUUCCUCCCAUCAGGCCUGCAAGAGGAGUGCAUCAUGUGGGGCUGGUUUCCUCACCACCACUGUGUUUCUCGCCGAGAAGCUCAUGCUGUGUUUGUGAUGCCACAACAUUAACAAGUGUCCAGAAAUCAGAAUCUUCUGCCUCAAAACACUUGCAACACAAAUAAGGUUGAGAAUGGGCAGGAGGAAAGCCAAGUUUCAUUAUGAUAUCGGCGUUAAACGACAGCUCCUUGGUAUAAGUUGCCAUCACCCCCUCGGGUCUGUCUGUGUUCCCCCAUCAGGAGUCUGCUCAGGGAGAGCCAAACCCCUUAAAUCCAGAGCUUAACCCAUAUCCAUAUUUCUUUUUUCUCCCCUCGUGGCUCUCUCUUGUCAGAUUUGGGUAUCCUUGGAUGUUUUUUGUUGUGUAUGUUGGCCAAAAAGUCUCACAGCUAGGGUGGUCGCUUUUCCUAGCAGGUAACAGCGAUCACAGAAGCAGCAUGACAAAACGUGCUGAAUAAA